UUUUUUUGGUCAUAAGAGGUACUUUCAUUCAUUCAUAAAAAAGAGGUCUAUAUGAUGAAAAUGAACAAGUCUCCGAAAACAAAAUAUCCCGAAGGAGCUGGGGGGGUGAAGACACCCAAUUUGGAGGAAGAGUUCUUGUACGAUGGGCUUUAGCUACCCAGUCUACUGCUUGGUUGGCCUCCCUAGGACAAUGACUUAAUUUCGCUGAAGCUUGUUGAGCUAAAAGAUCAUUGCAUUCAAUUAAGAUAUUCCGCAAGGCCCAAGGGGGCUCUUCUCGGCCCAACACCAUCUCCACUAAGGAUGAACUGUCGCUCUCACACUCCCACUGCACUUUCUGUACUUGUCCUUCACCCACGUGCGUUUCUGUUCGCUGUUUUAGAAACAAAAGUCCUUGCACUAAAGCUAGGGCUUCGGCUUGCAGAGGAGUUGAAGCUCGGACAUCCUUCGCGAAGCCAUCGACGACCAUCCCCUUUGAGUUGCGCAAGAUUCCUGCAAUUGAACUUGGUUUGUCGCUAUCCACCCAUGAGCAGUCCACGUUUAACUUCAUGGAGCUUCCAAUCGGAGGUAUCCAGUAAACAGGAAGAGAUGUUCAGCUGUCUCUGGAUGACUUGCACAGAGAGGGCACAACGGGUCAGGUAAUACUUUCCUCUUGAAGAGGUUUUCUCUCGUUGGUAGGGCGUCUUGACAUAAACUCCAUAGGAAAAUUCUCAGUUUGGGGGGGAUCGACAGAUUCCAUAUUUUUGUCCAUAAUCUUCUGGGAGGCUGAAAUGAUGUUGUUGCCCUGUGUAGGUCUGAUUUUGUGAUCAUGGAACACACCUUGUUAUAGCCACUCUUUACUGUGUAGGCACCUGUUUUGUUCCCUGUCCAGAAUAAUUUAUCUUCCUUUAGGCUGGGACCAAUGGAGAUAGAUAGGAUUUCAUUAGCAAUACUAUCAUCAAAGAGAUUUUUGAUUUUGGAUUCA